rnacentral:rRNA from 1 species
CACUAUGCCUAGCCGUAAACAUUGAUAGAAUUUUACACCCUCUAUCCGCCUGGGUACUACGAGCAUUAGCUUGAAACCCAAAGGACUUGGCGGUACUUUAGAUCCCCCUAGAGGAGCCUGUUCUAUAACCGAUGACCCCCGUUCAACCUCACCCUCCCUUGUUUCUCCCGCCUAUAUACCGCCGUCGUCAGCUUACCCUGUGAAGGUCUAAUAGUAAGCAAAAUUGGCACCGCCCAGAACGUCAGGUCGAGGUGUAGCGCAUGAGAGGGGAAGAAAUGGGCUACAUUCGCUAAUAUAGCGAAUACGAACGAUGCACUGAAAACGUCCAUCUGAAGGAGGAUUUAGCAGUAAGUGGAAAAUAGAGUGUUCCACUGAAAUCGGCUCUGAAGUGCGUACACACCGCCCGUCACUCUCCCCAAGCUUACCAAUUUAUGUAUCUAAAACGCUUUAACUGCGAAGGGGAGGCAAGUCGUAACAUGGUAAGUGUAC